UAGGGAAUAUUGGUCAAUGGGCGGAAGCCUGAACCUGCCAUGCCGCGUGCAGGAAGACGGCCUUCUGGGUUGUAAACUGCUUUUACCAGGGAACAAAUAGGCCAUGCGUGGCAAGUUGAGUGUACCUGGGGAAUAAGCACCGGCUAACUCUGUGCCAGCAGCCGCGGUAAUACAGAGGGUGCAAACGUUGCUCGGAAUGACUGGGCGUAAAGCGCGCGCAGGUGGCCCGUUAAGUCGGCUGUGAAAUCCCCUGGCUCAACCAGGGAAGUGCAGUCGAUACUGGCGGGCUCGAGUCCCGGAGAGGGUGGUAGAAUUCCCAGUGUAGAGGUGAAAUUCGUAGAUAUUGGGAGGAAUACCGGUGGCGAAGGCGACCGCCUGGACGGGUACUGACGCUGAGGCGCGAAAGCGUGGGGAGCAAACAGGAUUAGAUACCCCCGUAGUCC
rnacentral:rRNA from 1 species